AUUGAACGCUGGCGGCAUGCCUUACACAUGCAAGUCGAACGGCAGCACGGGUGCUUGCCCCUGGUGGCGAGUGGCGAACGGGUGAGUAAUACAUCGGAACAUGUCCUGUAGUGGGGGAUAGCCCGGCGAAAGCCGGAUUAAUACCGCAUACGAUCCACGGAUGAAAGCGGGGGACCUUCGGGCCUCGCGCUAUAGGGUUGGCCGAUGGCUGAUUAGCUAGUUGGUGGGGUAAAGGCCUACCAAGGCGACGAUCAGUAGCUGGUCUGAGAGGACGACCAGCCACACUGGGACUGAGACACGGCCCAGACUCCUACGGGAGGCAGCAGUGGGGAAUUUUGGACAAUGGGCGAAAGCCUGAUCCAGCAAUGCCGCGUGUGUGAAGAAGGCCUUCGGGUUGUAAAGCACUUUUGUCCGGAAAGAAAUCCUUGGCUCUAAUACAGUCGGGGGAUGACGGUACCGGAAGAAUAAGCACCGGCUAACUACGU
rnacentral:rRNA from 1 species